rnacentral:antisense_RNA from 1 species
AAUUAUUGCCGAUCCUCCCCUCCAACACUGCUCUCAUCACCUAUAUACUCUUUUCUCUGCCCGUCUCUGUUCCGCCCCCCCCCCCAACUUUUCUCCCGGGCCGACGGAGCUGAAGGGGCGGGGGUUUCUUCCUUGGAGUGUUUCUAGAGCUCGGAGGCUGCUAGUAGGGGGGCACCACUUUAAGAUAAAAACAUAGACCUGAAUGGCAUCAUCCAGUAUCCAAGGAAACCAUUGUGUCUGUAACCAGCUAAUGAGCUGCAACAGAGCCUGGCCUUCAUUUUCAGCAAAUUAAGUUCAUCCCUCAUAGGAAUUGUGGUCUGGCUGUGGCACCGCUCCUAGGUAUGGGUGGGAUUUGUUUCUUCUACCAGUUGUAGGUUAGCCACAUGGGUACGUGCUGUCGCACCACACAACAAAAUUUUCUCUAUAAUAACCAGUCUAAGUAGCCUUUUACCCCACAAAAGUAGAUCCCAUUUAAUUUACUUUGUGUUUAUAGCACUCCCUCUCAAACCGCACCAUUGGCACAGACUAAUAUUUAUACAACUUUUUAUUUUAAACUAUUU